rnacentral:rRNA from 1 species
UACGUAGGAGACGAGCGUUGUCCGGAGUUACUGGGCGUAAAGCGUGCGCAGGCGGUUUUGUAAGCCAGGUGUGAAAUCCCCGGGCUCAACCUGGGAAUGGCAUUUGGGACUGCAAGGCUGGAGUGCGGCAGAGGAGACUGGAAUUCCUGGUGUAGCAGUGAAAUGCGUAGAUAUCAGGAGGAACACCGAUGGCGAAGGCAGGUCUCUGGGCUGACACUGACGCUCAUGCACGAAAGCGUGGGGAGCAAACAGG